rnacentral:rRNA from 1 species
AUUGAACGCUGGCGGCAGGCCUAACACAUGCAAGUCGAGCGGCAGCGGGAAAGUAGCUUGCUACUUUUGCCGGCGAGCGGCGGACGGGUGAGUAAUGCCUGGGAAAUUGCCCAGUCGAGGGGGAUAACAGUUGGAAACGACUGCUAAUACCGCAUACGCCCUACGGGGGAAAGCAGGGGACCUUCGGGCCUUGCGCGAUUGGAUAUGCCCAGGUGGGAUUAGCUAGUUGGUGAGGUAAUGGCUCACCAAGGCGACGAUCCCUAGCUGGUCUGAGAGGAUGAUCAGCCACACUGGAACUGAGACACGGUCCAGACUCCUACGGGAGGCAGCAGUGGGGAAUAGUGCACAAUGGGGGAAACCCUGAUGCAGCCACGCCGCGUGUGUGAAGAAGGCCUUCGGGUUGUAAAGCACUUUCAGCGAGGAGGAAAGGUUGAUGCCUAAUACGUAUCAACUGUGACGUUACUCGCAGAAGAAGCACCGGCUAACUCCGUGCCAGCCGCCGCGGUAAAAC